UCAAGGUGAUUAUGUAUUGUGUCCUAACAUUCAAUGAAGGAAAGCACACCAAUUCAAAUGCUUCCAUUUUAAGUGUGAACUAUGUCCUUCAACUAACAUGUUACAGCAGUGACGACUAACAAAGGAAUACUAGAUUUAUUUUAAAAACCAAGGUGUUAUGGGCCUCUACUAUCUGUAUUGUUGCUGAUGGAUUCAAGCUUUUAUCCCAAGCAUUUUUUUCCUAGUUUCAAUAUCAGUGGCUGGGCAAUCAGGGACUUAACAGUCAUUACUUAGCAAAGCUGACAAGGAGACAUAGUGGACCUAAAAGGAGACAACGCUCUACCAGCAUUAUCACCCAUUAAUGAUUCUAGGAAGCAAGAGAAAGAAAAACCACCAAGUAGGCAAUAAAUUAAUCUUCAAAGAGAGAAGAGAUGGCAUUUGUAGAUCUCCUUUACAAAUUUGGCCAUGAUUCUGAAAUCCAGUUGAUGCACAAUGUUACAGUGCGACUAAAAGGACAAAUACACAAAUAUGCUUAUGAUGCAUAAGCAGGAAAAUCAGUGUAAUGUGGCCAGGCACUUGGGGCAUAGUGAAGUGGUACCUGGCACCAGUCAUUUUUCUUUGUCUCUACACCCAAAUUGGUGCCCAGAGAAGUUCCCCUGUCACCCUCCCCUAGUUACACCACUGAGGAAAAUAAUAACUAUGAGCUGGGGAUGAUCCAUGACAUUGGCAAGAGAUCAUUAUUUAAAUCUUGCACCUAGUUCUGGUGUCAACACUUCAAGAGACAAUAUACAAGAAAGUGAACAGAUUAACUGAAAAGCUGCAUUAACCAACUAAGGUCUGCAAACUUCAUCUGCUCUAUUUAUUUUGCUUAUCCAAGGAGGAAGAACUACACUGUUAUCAAAUUCAAGUGCGUAGAGAGGGAAGACAUUUCUGAUCAUUGUCCCCUGAAAACUACCUUGGCAUCCAUUUGGUAUAUCCGAGACAUUAGUUUAACUCUAGAAAGGAACACAUCCUCCAAGACACUGUACUCUGAGCACCAUUUCUAAAGUUUGUUGCAUUUCAAAUGUCUGCACAUCAUUAUAGACCAUGUAUCUAUAAAUAAGACAUGUUUAGCAAGCUCUAAUAGUUUUUAUACUGUUACAUAACAGAAUAUCAAUGCUUAAUUCCAGUGUUACCCCUCAAACUGAAAGUCAUACCAGUAUGCUGAACCCAACUGCCCUGCACUUAGGCUGAAGAUUUAUUUUCUGUACAUGACUAUAGCCAUAUUCAGCAAAUACUUUUUUGAUCCAUUCUGUUUUGCUCACACAAUAACCUUACCUUUAUGGGAUGACUUCUCCUGACCUAAUUUGAAGUUAAAAAGAAAUUCCUCAUUAAGCAUGAGCAGCUUCUCCCCUCAAGAUAUCUGUGCAUGCUUGGGUUACUUUCAAGUAUUUUGCUUUGACUCAUUAUAAUGUUACUCAGCUGGGAUUACCACAACUGUAAAAAGUAGUUUUCAAAGGCAGUAUAUUCCACAAUCAUUGGAUGUUUUCAGAGGGUUUCAUUAUUCCACAAAAAAUGAAGUUAAUUGCUUAAUCCUACUGACGUCAGCAUGAGCUUUACUCUGAUUUUUAAAGACACUGAUUUAAGAUCCUGAAUUCCAGAUGACAAUAGAAUACCUCAAGUACUUGGACAGGCAACUAAUGCAGAACUUCAUUUUACAACCAACCAAGGGUAUUGUCCCCAUUUGUACCCACUGGCUGCUCUGGUCUCUAAAGCUAUUGGAGAAUGAAAAACAAAACUCAAGGUAGGUAAAAAAAGCAUCCAUAGUUUCCAUCUCUUAGUAUCCAAGUAAAUAGAGCAUUACAGUUUUAAUCCCUGUCAAAUGUCUGUCAGCUAUGCCUUUUUCUAACAGUUAAUGUAGAAGCUAUUCCGUCUCAUGCACCUGGUAGCAGGGACAAAUAUUAUUGAAGUUACAAUAUGAAAAUUUCGAAGUAACUAAGCAAUUUUGUCAUUAUUUCCCACUUAAGAAUUCUCAAGUUGUAUCACUCAAAA